CCAACAACAACAACAACAAACCAAAAACAACUCAAUCAACCUUGGCCAACAGAGAGAGCAAGCAAUUUUGUGGGAGGCAAAUGUCCCUGUGCACAAACAAGAUGUUUAAGAAAAAACAACUCUUCAUACUUGUCAGAAGAGAGAUUUGAUACCCGUGAUUGAAAAGAGAGAAGCCCCAAUGCAAGGAUGCCUCAGAGCUCUGCUACUGAGGGUGGUCCCCACCCCCACCCAGAAGAUUCAGCAUCACCUGAUGUGUGUUAAAAAUGCAGACCCUCAGCCUGCCCUAGAUCUUGGGAAUCAGAACCUGAAUGUUAACAAGAUCUGCAGAUCUAAGAAGCAUUGACUGAGCAGAUUCUCAAGCCAAAUGUGACUUCCUAGCUCACUUUUAAUUUCAUUAUUUCACAUUUUUUAAUCUAAAAGCAAGAAAAAUUUAAUUACAAGAGGAAACAAGGUUAUCAGAGGGAAAAACAUCUUUGGGCUCUCCUAUUGUACUGUCUGUGAUCAAUGACUUUAAAUCAGAAGGCAGUUGAUUGUUUUGGGGUCUCAUUUGCCUUGUGCCUACUUUUCUCAUCAAAGAGAUCACAGCACUCUGUAUUAUCUGGUCUUACAUCUUCACUGAAAGCUUCCUGUGGGCAGGGCCAUGUCUUAGAUAUCUAAAUACUCAGUGCCUAACCUAAUGCCUAACACAAGAAGGUGCUCCAAAACAUUGGAAUGGCAACACAUAAGCAAAUAGAUAACCAAUCACUUACCUGGGUUACAUCCACCCUUCAAGUUCAAGCUUACAACUCCUCUCCUUCAUAAAGAUUUCUUCAGUUAUUUCAUCCACCAUGCUGUCCACCUGCUGUAAGUAAAUAUCACUUAUUUGAGAUUUAACACACACACACACACACACACACACACACACACACACACAUACAUACAAAUGACUUUAGUUGUCAAUUAUCUUUAUUUUGUAUCUCUCUUAUUACCCCAUCCAAGCUGUAAAAAGGUAUCUCUUUUGAUAUAUUUUAUAUUGCCUUGCAGAGUAGGCAUUCGAAUAUUUGUUAUGCUUGAACUACCUUAAAAUAAAAAUAGACAUUAACAUGAGAAAAUCUACAAGCUUUGAUUUUCCUUCAAGCAUAAUUCUCAAUUGCCAAAAUUAAUUCUAGAGAUGACAAUAUUUAAACAGCUCCUCCAGCUGUGACCUAUUUAUCUUAACUAAAGCAUCUGUUUUGAUAUAUGAAAUACUUUCUAAUUUUUAAAUGGUUGGUUACAUCUUUAGCCAACUCAAUUCUUAUUUCUGUUAUGACAGUAGUUUAUGCUUCUCUAUGCUUCUCUAUGUUGACCAUAGUUAAAUUGGUUAAUAAAAGUUUAUAACUAGAGAUCAUUUUAAGGAUAUAUGUAAUAAUUUAUAAAGUUUGCAUGAUGUCCCUGAUAGCACCACACAGACCAAUAUUUCCAUUUUGAAACUAACUGUAGAGAUAUUGCUCAAUAGUGCACCCGUGGCAUGGAAGGUUUUAAUGCCUGGAAUUAUAACUACAUUUGUGAAUAUCAACACAGCUGCUCCAGGGUACACCUUAGUCUAUUACACAAAUCAUCCCUAAGUGUCCUAUAGAUGGCAGCAUUGAGCAAUAUAUUUGGUACUAUGUGGCAUUUUGGUUUCUGUAAAUUUUCAGUUAGGAGUAAAUUUUUCAAAUAGUGUAUAUCAUUAUAGUAUACCACAAGACUAAUUUAGUGUAAGGUGACAGGAUGAUACUUGUAGUUGUUUAAAUUACUUCACUUAGAUUCCACAAAAACAUCUCUUUCUAUUUGUAUAUAAAAUGCAGCAAUGUUUAUUUCCAGAA